rnacentral:tRNA from 2 species
GGAGAAGUACUCAAGAGGCCGAAGAGGCGCCCCUGCUAAGGGUGUAGUGCGGGAAACUGCAGCGAGGGUUCAAAUCCCUCCUUCUCCGCCA